rnacentral:rRNA from 1 species
AUUGAACGCUGGCGGCAUGCUUUACACAUGCAAGUCGAACGGUAACAGGGUGCUUGCACCGCUGACGAGUGGCGAACGGGUGAGUAAUGCGUCGGAACGUGCCGAGUAGUGGGGGAUAACGCAGCGAAAGUUGUGCUAAUACCGCAUACGUACUGAGGUAGAAAGUGGGGGACCUUCGGGCCUCACGCUAUUCGAGCGGCCGACGUCUGAUUAGCUAGUAGGUGAGGUAAAGGCUCACCUAGGCGACGAU